CGGAAUGAUUAUUCUAUUUCUGCCGCAGAGGGGGAAAGACAGGAGGGUUAGAAAGGCGGGUUCCAAGCGAGGGCUGUCAUCAAGGCGUUUGGUGUGGAGCGCCUCCUCAGGCACGCUAGCCCCAGUGAGUCCAGUGUCCCUGGGAGUAGAUGACAUCAGCAUCCCGGCUUACAGAGAGAAUCUCAGAGUGGGUAAGUGGCCUGAGGACGGGCAGCCAGGUCUGGUGGUCUCCCUCUCCUACCUGGCUGCCUCCCCUUUUCUUCAAAGACGGGAGACGUCUAUUUCCUACGUGUCUUACAGCCUUCAUGUUGGAUCAACAAGCAGAGCUGAGAUGUCAUUGACAGAGAGAUGUCCCCCCGCCUCCAGCUGAGUGACAGAGAUGAAGCGGAAGCUGCUUUUGAUUUUUAAAAAUUUUUUUAUUUUUGUAAAUUCAUAUCCAAAGAGUUAGCAUCUGGUGCAAGGACGAUUUCAGGAGUAGAUGCCUUAGUGCCCCUUACGCAUUGAGCCCAUCCCCCCUCCCACAACCCCUCCAGGAACCCUCUGUUCUCCAUAUUUAUGAGUCCCUUCUGUUUUGUCCCCCUCCCUGUUUUUAUACUAUUUUUGUUUCCCUUCCCUUAUGUUCAUCUGUUUUGUCUCUUAAAGUCCUCAAAUGAGGGAAAUCAUCUGAUUGUUGUCUUUCUCUGACUAAUUUCACUUAGCAUAAUACCCUC
rnacentral:lncRNA from 1 species